rnacentral:SRP_RNA from 1 species
UGCCAAGCCCUGUUUAACAGGUUAGUACCCAAUCCCGCCAGGUCCGAAAGGAAGCAACGGUCAGUAUUUAAUUUGUGUAAGCAGUAAGCUUGGCUUUU